rnacentral:rRNA from 1 species
UACGUAGGGGGGCAAGCGUUUGUCCGGAUUUAUUGGGCGUAAAGAGCGUGUAGGCGGCUAGGUAGGUCCGUUGUGAAAACUCGAGGCUCAACCUCGAGACGUCGAUGGAAACCAUCUAGCUAGAGUCCGGAAGAGGAGAGUGGAAUUCCUGGUGUAGCGGUGAAAUGCGCAGAUAUCAGGAAGAACACCCGUGGCGAAGGCGGCUCUCUGGUACGUGACUGACGCUGAGACGCGAAAGCGUGGGGAGCAAACAGG